rnacentral:rRNA from 1 species
AGGAGCUUGCUCCCUCUGACGUUAGCGGCGGACGGGUGAGUAACACGUGGAUAACCUACCUAUAAGACUGGGAUAACUUCGGGAAACCGGAGCUAAUACCGGAUAAUAUAUUGAACCGCAUGGUUCAAUAGUGAAAGACGGUUUUGCUGUCACUUAUAGAUGGAUCCGCGCCGCAUUAGCUAGUUGGUAAGGUAACGGCUUACCAAGGCAACGAUGCGUAGCCGACCUGAGAGGGUGAUCGGCCACACUGGAACUGAGACACGGUCCAGACUCCUACGGGAGGCAGCAGUAGGGAAUCUUCCGCAAUGGGCGAAAGCCUGACGGAGCAACGCCGCGUGAGUGAUGAAGGUCUUCGGAUCGUAAAACUCUGUUAUUAGGGAAGAACAAAUGUGUAAGUAACUAUGCACGUCUUGACGGUACCUAAUCAGAAAGCCACGGCUAACUACGUGCCAGCAGCCGCGGUAAUACGUAGGUGGCAAGCGUUAUCCGGAAUUAUUGGGCGUAAAGCGCGCGUAGGCGGUUUUUUAAGUCUGAUGUGAAAGCCCACGGCUCAACCGUGGAGGGUCAUUGGAAACUGGAAAACUUGAGUGCAGAAGAGGAAAGUGGAAUUCCAUGUGUAGCGGUGAAAUGCGCAGAGAUAUGGAGGAACACCAGUGGCGAAAGCGACUUUCUGGUCUGUAACUGACGCUCAUGUGCGAAAGCGU